GCCAGAGCCAUAUCUCCCUACAGUUUUCACCUGGUUUCCCACUGAAGCUAAGCAGGGUUGAGGCUGGCCAGUAUCUGGAUGGGAGAUCUUCUGGGGAAAACUAAGGUUGCUGCUGGAA
rnacentral:rRNA from 1 species